rnacentral:snoRNA from 1 species
AACCCAUGGUAAGGGCACCUUCUUAAUAAGUCCUUGUAUCUCUCCCAUGCAUCAUAACGAGUUUCUAAAUCCAUCUGCACAAAAGAAAAAGAUAUCAUUUCUCAAUUU